GUCUAAGGCCUUACCACCCUGAAUGUGCCUAAUCUCAUCUGGUUUUGGAAGCUAAGCAGGGUUGAGCCUGAUUAGAACUUGGAUGAGAGCAAGCUAUUAUUCUUAAUAAACUAUUGGUUCAUAGUCA
rnacentral:rRNA from 1 species